rnacentral:rRNA from 1 species
GACGAACGCUGGCGGCGUGCUUAACACAUGCAAGUCGAACGAAGUGGCGAACGGGUGAGUAAUACGUGGGUAACCUGCCCUCCUUUUCGGGUUAAGCCUUGAAAACGGGGUCUAAUACCGAAUAAAGGGGGAUGGGCUGGCGGCCUAUCAGCUUGUUGGUGGGGUGAUGGGUUACCAAGGCGGUGACGGGGAGCCGGCCUGAGAGGGGGAACGGGCACAGUGGGACUGCGCAACGGCCCAGGCUCGUACGGGGUGGGGCAGUGGGGGAUAUUGAACAAGGGGCGAAAGCCUGAUGCCGCGUCGCUGCGUGGGGUGUGAGGGCUUUCGGGUUGUAAACCUCUUGCGGUAUCAAAAGGGUAGGUGGAGAAGAAGCGCCGGCUAACUACGUGCCAGCAGCCGCGGUAAUAC